UGUAAACCUAACAGACACGCGCGCGC
rnacentral:piRNA from 1 species